GAUGAACGCUGGCGGCGUGCCUAAUACAUGCAAGUCGAGCGAACAGAUGAGGAGCUUGCUCCUCUGACGUUAGCGGCGGACGGGUGAGUAACACGUGGAUAACCUACCUAUAAGACUGGGAUAACUUCGGGAAACCGGAGCUAAUACCGGAUAAUAUAUUGAACCGCAUGGUUCAAUAGUGAAAGACGGUUUUGCUGUCACUUCUAGAUGGAUCCGCGCCGCAUUAGCUAGUUGGUAAGGUAAAGGCUUACCAAGGCAACGAUGCGUAGCCGACCUGAGAGGCGGGUCGGCCACACUGGAACGUAGACAGGGACCAUGGUCCUACGGGAGGCAGCAGUAGGGAAGCUGCCGCAAUGGGCGGAAGCCUUACGGAGCAACGCCGCGUGAGUGAUGAAGGUCUUCGGAUCGUAAAACUCUGUUAUUAGGGAAGAACAAAUGUGUAAGUAACUAUGCACGGCUUGACGGUACCUAAUAAGAAAGCCACGGCUAACUACGUG
rnacentral:rRNA from 1 species